AGAGGAGCUGGGAGAGGCAGAUCUGGGCUAUAAUGCAGGCCUUUGAUGCUGAAAGCAGAACAAAUGUGAGCCGGCCGCCUGGCCACAGCUGCCUCUCAUUAGAGCCUGCUUCCUCCAGCCCAGGACAAGGUGGACCCACGAGCUGGAGUCUGAAGUCUGAAUGGGUCUCCUCUCC